AGUUUGGAUGCAGUUCCCAGGUGAGCCCGGGGGCUUUCACAUCCAACUUAACGAACCACCUACGCGCGCUUUACGCCCAGAAUUCCCGAUUAACGCUUGCACCCUUCGUAUUACCGCGGCUGCUGGCACGANAGUUAGCCGGUGCUUAUUCUGUCGGUAACGUCAAAAUUCCUGGAUAUUAGCCAGAAACCCUUCCUCCCAACUUAAAGUGCUUUACAAUCCGAAGACCUUCUUCACACACCGCGGCAUGGCUGGAUCAGGCUUUCGCCCAUUGUCCAAUAUUCCCCACUGCUGCCUCCCGUAGGAGUCUGGACCGUGUCUCAGUUCCAGUGUGGCUGAUCAUCCUCUCAGACCAGCUACGGAUCGUCGCCUUGGUGAGCCUUUACCUCACCAACUAGCUAAUCCGACCUAGGCUCAUCCAAUAGCGCAAGGCCCGAAGGUCCCCUGCUUUCUCCCGUAGGACGUAUGCGGUAUUAGCGUUCCUUUCGGAACGUUAUCCCCCACUAUUGGGCAGAUUCCUAGGCAUUACUCACCCGUCCGCCGCUGAAUCCCAGGAGCAAGCUCCCGUUCAUCCAGCUCGACUUGCAUGUGUUAGGCCUGCCGCCAGCGNNUUCAAUCUGAGCCAGAAUCAAACNCUAANUUN
rnacentral:rRNA from 1 species